UGCUGAAGUUACAAUGAUGAAAUUAUUCAUAAUGACAAGUCAUUGAGGUGCGUUUAAUGUUUGCUGUCUCUGGCCUACAGAUUAGUUCCUGAUUUAAUGAGGCUGUCACCUGAAGUAUCUUCCUGUGUUUUGGAGACCGCCACACAGAAUCACUGAUUUUCAGUUACCCUCAAAGGCCGUCCGGCAGACAGGAAUUCUCAUUUUCUUGUGAGUAUAAAAGAAUCCUGUUUGAUCAAACAAUUUGUGACG
rnacentral:lncRNA from 1 species